GAUGAACGCUGGCGGCGUGCCUAAUACAUGCAAGUCGAGCGAAUGGAUUAAGAGCUUGCUCUUAUGAAGUUAGCGGCGGACGGGUGAGUAACACGUGGGUAACCUGCCCAUAAGACUGGGAUAACUCCGGGAAACCGGGGCUAAUACCGGAUAACAUUUUGAACCGCAUGGUUCGAAAUUGAAAGGCGGCUUCGGCUGUCACUUAUGGAUGGACACGCGGCGCAUUAGCUAGUUGGUGAGGUAACGGCUCACCAAGGCAACGAUGCGUAGCCGACCUGAGAGGGUGAUCGGCCACACUGGGACUGAGACACGGCCCAGACUCCUACGGGAGGCAGCAGUAGGGAAUCUUCCGCAAUGGACGAAAGUCUUACGGAGCAACGCCGCGUGAGUGAUGAAGGCUUUCGGGUCGUAAAACUCUGUUGUUAGGGAAGAACAAGUUCUAGUUGAAUAAGCUGGCACCUUGACGGUACCUAACCAGAAAGCCACGGCUAACUACGUGCCAGCCGCCGCAGUAA
rnacentral:rRNA from 1 species